rnacentral:rRNA from 1 species
UACGAAGGGGGCUAGCGUUGCUCGGAAUCACUGGGCGUAAAGGGUGCGUAGGCGGGUCUUAAGUCAGGGGUGAAAUCCUUGGAGCUCAACUCCAGAACUGCCUUUGAUACUGAAGAUCUUGAGUUCGGGAGAGGUGAGUGGGAACUGCGAGUGUAGAGGUGAAAUUCGUAGAUAUUCGCAAGAACACCAGUGGCGAAGGCGGCUCACUGGCCCGAUACUGACGCUGAGGAGCGAAAGCGUGGGGAGC